rnacentral:rRNA from 1 species
GGUUGAUCCUGCCAGUAGUCAUACGCUUGUCUCAAAGAUUAAGCCAUGCAUGUCUAAGUAUAAGCAUUAUACAGUGAAACUGCGAAUGGCUCAUUAUAUCAGUUAUAGUUUAUUUGAUAGUCCCUACUACUUGGAUAACCGUAGUAAUUCUAGAGCUAAUACAUGCGAAGCCUCCGGACUGCGCGAGCGGGACGGACGUAUUUAUUAGAACCAACCAGCCCUUCGGGUCCCCGGUGAAUCAUAAUAACUGAGCGAACCGCAUGCUUCGGCGGCGGUGGUUCAUUCAAGUUU